UGAAGACCUGCCGGCUUUCACUACACCAUACACUUCAAGGAAGGCGUAUUAACACUACGCUGACCAUGUUAACCCAGCAAAAAAGAGAUUGUUGAUUAUGGAUACGAAAAAGAGCGAUUGUCCUGCCACUUUUUAAAUUAAAUGUGUUAAAGUGUAUCCAGGCUAUUCUGUUCAAUCAGUAGAUGAUCGUGAAAUUAAAAAGAAUGUUGUCCAUAGUUUAAAACAGGCUUUGGAGGCAGCCAAUAAACCUGAAAGUGUUCUUCACUUUUAUAUGAGGGCGUCACCACCAUACCCACAGCACAGAAAGCGUAAAAGCAAGUGGAGACAUACAUCCCUUGCUAGCUGCGGAAAUAGCAAAAGUUGUUGAAGAUGGAACUACGUCUGUGAGAAUAAUAAAGUUACACCUUGAAAGAUUUGUGAACAUAACCUUCACUGGACCAAACAAGCCAGAUAAUAUGAACACUACAUUUUACCCCACACAUCUCACAAUAUAUAGUCAUGUGUACAGGGCCCUUAAGAAAUUGAAGAAAAGUGUGUUUCACCAAGAUGCUUUGCAAAUGCAGAUUAAUGAGUGGCAGAAAGAAUAUAGAGGUGACAAUAUUUUUUUCAGGCCUUUUUCAGAUGUUGAUGGAGAAAUACAGCCAUUGCUGUUUUGUUAUGAGAGUGCAUGGCAGGAGGAUAUCUUAAAAAAAUAUGGAGAUGUAUGUUUGCUUGAUGCCACCUACAAAACAACAAAAUAUGACAUUCCUUUAUUUUUUGUUACAGUAAAGGCAAACAGAUGCUGUUUAGUGGUAGGUUUUUUCUUUAUUCAGGUAGAAGAUACAAGGUCAAUUGCUGAAGCGCUACUUGUUUUCAAGAGGUGGAAUACAAACUUCGACCCAACCUACUGGGUUACUGAUUUUUCAGAGUCCGAGAUAGCAGCAAUUAAAGAAAUAUUUCCAUUUUCAAAAGUGUACUUGUGUUCAUUUCACAGGGAACAGGCUCGGGGGCGAUGGGUUAAAAAGGGUGGGAAUCUAACUGUAGGAACUGAUAGAGUCCGUUCUGGAGCUGUGGCGCUAUGUUGCAACGUCUCCCACUGAGGAACAGUUCGAACUCAAUGUUGAAAUGUUAGAGACUCUUGAGGUUUUUCGUAGAAACCCCAAGGCACUUAUUUAUUUUAAAAAUCAAUGGCUCUCACUUGCUGAAAAGUGGGUCAGAGCUUUUGAGAAUAUUGGCAUAUUUGCCAAUAUUAGAACCACAAACGGUGUUGAAACAAUGAACGAGAAGGUCAAAAAGUCUUUUCUGAACUAUGACACAGACAAAACAUUAACAGGAGUUGUUAAGGUAUUAGUAAAUAGUUUCAUUCCUGGCCUCAUGAAAAAGUAUUGCCAAAUGAAUUCUGUUAUUAGAAAGAACAAUGAAGUUGUACCUGCAUUUUUGCACGGAAAGACACAGGAAUUUAUAACACACUUGUGGAAACGAUAUUCUUCUGCAGAAGAAAGCUUCAGUAAAGAGUCAGUGUCAGUAAUAAGUGAGGGUGUUUUUUCCGUGAAAAGCGACACUUCAAAAGAUGUUGGGUAUACUGUAAACUUUGCGGAACCAAGUUGUACAUGUGAAGAUUACCAAAAGCACAAAUAUAUGUGUAAACAUUUUUAUGCCAUCUUUAUUUUCUAUCCUCAAUGGGGUUUUGACAAAGUAAAUGAAAAGUACAGAAAUAGCCCGUUAAUUUGUUUGGAUAGGACAUAUGGGUAUGGUGCAAGUGGCAGCUGUAUUUAAACAGACUGCGUGAAUUAGAGGAGUCCAGCUAUGAAUGAAGAGCAUAACAUUCCUGAACCAUCAGCUUCUUCUUCAUCUCUGUUUCGAGAGGCAAGAGAGAGAUGUCGGAACAUUAUAAAUCUCACAUACAAUUGUGACAAUGACACGAUAAAAAAAGUGUUAGAGGCACUUAAAAAUGUGGAACGUAUUGGAAGAUUGUCGAACCCUACAGAAAAUGGUCUUCCUUUAGCAGCGACAUCAUCUUCAAAAAUGUAGGAACACUCGUUUAAAUGGAGGCAGAAUUUGUGAAACACGUAUUUGCCCUUUUGCUUUUCUGGAUGUUCGUAUAGAUUUAAUAAUGAAAUGGAUUGAUCAGAGUAUGGUGAGUUAAGUGUCUACAGCAAUCACUUACAUUGGGAGAUUUUUCAGUUUUACAUUAAAAUAUGUGGUAGUACAGCAAAUUUAAAACUGGAAGAACUUCCCAACCAAAAUGAAAGUCAUGGUUACACAACUUGCCAUACCCUCAUAAAUACAUUUUACCAUCAAUAGUUAAAGUAGAUACGCAACUGUGUGCUGAUUGUGCUGCUACUGAUACUUUUUUUGUUAAAUGGUAUUGGUAGCAUGAAGCAAGACUGGAAGUACCAAAAAGCUCUUCUUUAUUUCUUAUAACAAUAAUAAUUAAUAUUAUUACACGUUAUUACAAACAUUGUCAGAGUUAUUGGAGAAAUACACAAUAGGUGGGACCAAUGGUCAUUACUGAAGGUUGAUACAAGAGAAGUAAAACUCUGAAUGGUUUCUAAAAAUCAGAUCUGAUCAAAUUUUACAGAAAGCUACAUGUAAAUAUACAGGAGUAAAAACUGUCACCACUGUUGUCAUGAGAUUUUCUAUAAUGCUAUAGCUAAGACUUUGUAUGUAGUGUCUGACAAUUCAGUAUGGUACUUUUCCAGUAAGUGCAGAAGUGCCUAUUUCAUAUUAGAGUUAGCAACCCGUGUGUGCACCUGUUUAAUGUUAAAAAGAGUCGUUUUUAUAUAUGUUAGAUCAGAAGUUAAACGACAACACUUUUCAUGUAAAACAGAUGCACAUGCACAUGUGCCAUGUUCAUUUCCCAUUACUGAAAAAUGACUGACCAUUCUAACUACAUUUUAUGUAGGGUUUAUGUAAACAUUUGUAAUGUUUACAGGGCUUUCUUGUCUCUUUUGCAACAAGUGAGGAUUUGGCACUCAUUUAUGUUCCACUACAGUUUCCGCACAAAAUACUCAAACUUACUACUUGCACUGAUUCAGUACAAAAGUCAAUUUCUAAAGCAUAUGACACCAUUGCAUUGUUGUAUCUUUCUGUGCAGGCUCAGGGAUAUAUGUUUCAAUGGUAGGAUUUUUCUGGCAGUCUGGAAUGAGGUUAGAGAGAAAACUAUUGCUAAGACCAUAAAUCCAGUAAUGUUUCAACACCAUUUGUGUGUGAGUGUGAGUGACUGAGUGACUACUUCCAAAAGCAGUUCCUCAACCAUUGUCGCGUGGAUAUCUCUCUCUCUCUCUCUCUCUCUCUCUCUCUCUCACACACACACACACACACACACACACACACACACACACACACACACAUUGAUAUUCUUUAAUUAUCCUUCAAGAUGCAGCUGGCUAGUAGUACGCAUCGCAACAUAAAAAUUAAUAUAUUCCCCACAGGCAAGAAUUAGAUAUGAACAAACAAAAUUUCAUGCCAAAAUUUGUGCCCCAUUAAGUUUUAAUGAUUCCGUAACAACAGAUGAUGUAAUAUGUCCCACAAGAAGUAAUGCACUCCCAUUUUCUACAGUUAUAUAACCUGGUUCCUAAGACAGAAGUGUCAAGUGCGUCCAAGUGAAAUAAUGUAAAUAGCUUUUUCCAAAAGGGAAAUGAAUCCUUAAUAGUUUUUACCUUGAACUCUAAGAAACUGGCACCCAACCCAUUAACUGUGGAUGAUGAUUGUUCCAUCUCUUGGAAAUUUGUAGAACUUCAUAAAUUGGCACUCAUACAAUCAACUUAAAAGGAGGGUCGAGGAAAAGAAAAAUCCAACCACUAAACACCACAUCUUUGCAUUGAGUGUGAGGCAAAACAUAGGAAAGUCAUAUUUUGUAUAUAUCAUCUAGCAAAUUAACUUGCAUUGCUUUGUGUCACUGUUCUGUACUGCAUUGGUAUUGGGAUUCAGACUCAGCAGGGAAAAGGUUCACAUCCAUAGGUUCUGUUUGUGCUCAUUAAUCUGAAUCUCUUAAAUUUUCUUCACAUUGCAAAUUGUCUUGUCUGUGAAGUAAAACUUCGUGUGGUCGUGGUGUGACUUGAUUUCUCUAGUGAAGUCAACAGGAAUAAGUAGAUUCUGUAAGCUUACGUGGAUUUGGUUUAUGUAGCUAAGUGGUACUUAAUAUUUAAAAUUUGAUAAUCUUGUAACUGUUAAAUACCUAAGAAUUUUUUUGUACUUAUUACUAUAGACAUAGGAUUUUUGUGUAAAUGAACUUAAAAAACUACAAAUGUAUUUGUGUUUGUAAAUAAAGUGGCAUGUCUCACACCAUAAUAAAUUGUACAGAU